rnacentral:snoRNA from 1 species
AGGCAUGCAAUCCUAAGGACCUGUGCUUGGUUGUAGUGCUGGUUCUCCAAGUGCAUGCUAGAAAAUUGGGUGGUCUUUGACUGUUGUGGCCUUUUGUGCCAUAAGCAGCCACUCAACUGUCCAACAGAA